UGGCACAGCUAGCGACUGGGUGACUUUAUUCACCCGCUUCGGCUGUUAUCAGUCCAUACAAGGGGCGUUAUUAGCAGAAAUUAGUCCCAUAGAUGUGGGCCAUCUCCACCUGCUAGAUUGUUCAGAAGGUUGUUAUCAUCCAUCCAGAUGGAGGAUCACUAACAGGAGCGUGGGAAGACUCCAGAAUCCACUCUGGCUGGAAUCCGGUGGAUACAGCAGUGUUACAGACGGUCAUUGUGGGCUCCCGCUGCUGUCCCACACACCUGCUCAUCACCGCACCGGCCGCUGAUCCCAGCUGAUUACUGCACUACUUAAGAUGGCGAGUCUGCACUACUCUUCGCUGGAUUGUUGAGCUAUCAGCAUCGUUUUUGGAACCAGAUUCUGAGAGGAGUGACUGAGGAGGAGCUUUUGUACAGAAAGGGUGGAGCACCUUUUCCCCUAAUCCUGUUUCCCACGGACCCUGGCGACCCGGACCCGUUUCCCCUGCACGUUGUAUAUAGCUACUUGGUGAUUGUGUUCACUGUGAAUAAACGCACUGUUCUCAGCUUAAAGGAAAAA